CCUCCAACCCGUACACAACCAACGAAACGCAACCCUAGCCCCUCUCUGUCCCGCUCCUCUCCUCUCCUCCCCACUCCACUACACACGCGGCGGCGGCGCCCAAAGCAACCAAACCACGGCGAGAUCCGGCGGCCUGGCCAUCCCGGAGCACGACGACCUCGAGCACGCCCUCCAUCCACGCCAAAGCAUCCGAGUCCCGGCCGCCUACAGCUGCUCCCACCUGUCGGUCAUUCGCUCUGGUGUGACCAGGUCAUUCUUGCCCUGCAAAUGCACAGAGACCGAAGCAACAUUGGUGGCGUGACGCACAAACACCCUACCCUCUCCGGCCGAUAUCUGACACCAAGACUGUGACUAGUCUUGUGAGUGACAGCCAGAUGUAGUUGCAUCCAUGCGCGCCGCCCCGUCGAGCUUGCCCGCCCGCGUCGCAUCAAGCAAGCGCGUCGAUGCCACCGCAAGGAGAAGAUGCCUCCGG